GUUCAACAGAAGAAGAGAGGAAACAAGCACAGGAGUCAAAGAUAAGGCGGCAAAUGAAACUUAAUAGGAGGAUUCUUACAAAGAUAACUCCAUUUUCUAAAGAAAUUAAUUGUGAAUUCUUUCUAGCGGAGAACCAACAUCAGAAGUAUUAUUUGCAGAAGUAUUACAAGCUCUGUCAGAGUUUGAACCUACGGAGCACUCAACAAUUUGUGGACUCCUACAUUGCUUGCAAAUUCAACGGAGUAUUGGCUUUGGAUGGGGAACUCAUCUUGGACAAGUUACCACAAUUAUCGACGACUUGUCUGUUACCCAAGCAAUGCCGAUCAACUUGUGAUGAAAUUAUACAAGAUUUAAAGAGAAGUUUAAUCAGCCAUACUUCUUAAGUAGUGACUUCAUUAUUUUUUUUUCACUCUAUAUAUAUCUUAUACUAGAAAUCAAUUGAAAUUUGAUAAUGGUAUGGUAACGAUCCGACUGGUCGUUUUGAGUA